GUUCUCGCUUCAGCAACACAUAUACUAAAAUUGAAACGAUGGAGAGAUUAGCAUGGCCCCCAUGCAAGAAUGACACCCAAGGAAUUGGGGCAUCCCGGGAGCUA
rnacentral:snRNA from 1 species